AUGGAUAUAUCUCUCGCGGGCUUGCUCCGAACCACUUCAAGGUCAGAAAGUGCAAAUUCUUUUUUCAACCGUUUCAUUCACCGUAGGCUUGCUUUUGUUGAGUUCUGGCUUAGGUUCGACACAGCUUUAGAAUGCCAACGUGAGAAAGAAUUAAUGGCAGACAAUAGAAGCAUGCAUACCACCCCACAACUAUUUACGCCAUGGACAAUGGAGAAACAAGGUAGUGAGGUAUUCACAUAUGAGGUAUUCGAGCAAUUUCAGCUACAAGUUAUUGCAGCUAGAGAUCAUUGUUGUGUUCAGGGUAUUACACAAGGUGCAGGGUUAAAAAUGGUGACCCUGAGAGGUCGAUCUGGUAAGGUAAGGGAGGUCUACUAUGACACUACAACCAUGAUAGCAAAUUGUCCGUGCAAGUUAUUUGAGUCAAUCGGUAUUCCAUGUCGACAUAUUAUCCAAGUGUUGAGGAUUGAGAACCAAAAUGAGCUUCCCAACUACUACAUUAUGAAAAGAUGGCAGAAACGAUGCAAGAGGUAA
rnacentral:rRNA from 1 species